rnacentral:rRNA from 1 species
GAAAAAAUCCAGCGGAAGAUGAGGCGGUGCUAUACAUGCAAGUCGAGCGGAGUUUUGAAAAGCUUGCUUUUCAAAACUUAGCGGCGGACGGGUGAGUAACACGUGGGCAACCUGCCCUUGAGACGGGGAUAACUCCGGGAAACCGGAGCUAAUACCGGAUAACACAUAUCUUCGCAUGAGGAUAUGUUAGAAGGUGGCUUUUAGCUACCACUCAAGGAUGGGCCCGCGGCGCAUUAGCUAGUUGGUGAGGUAACGGCUCACCAAGGCGACGAUGCGUAGCCGACCUGAGAGGGUGAUCGGCCACACUGGGACUGAGACACGGCCCAGACUCCUACGGGAGGCAGCAGUAGGGAAUCUUCCGCAAUGGACGAAAGUCUGACGGAGCAACGCCGCGUGAGUGAUGAAGGUUUUCGGAUCGUAAAGCUCUGUUGUUAGGGAAGAACAAGUACCUGUUGAAUAAGCAGGUACCUUGACGGUACCUAACCAGAAAGCCACGGCUAACUACGUGCCAGCAGCCGCGGUAAUACGUAGGUGGCAAGCGUUGUCCGGAAUUAUUGGGCGUAAAGCGCGCGCAGGCGGUUCCUUAAGUCUGAUGUGAAAGCCCACGGCUCAACCGUGGAGGGUCAUUGGAAACUGGGGAACUUGAGUGCAGAAGAGGAGAGCGGAAUUCCACGUGUAGCGGUGAAAUGCGUAGAGAUGUGGAGGAACACCAGUGGCGAAGGCGGCUCUCUGGUCUGUAACUGACGCUGAGGCGCGAAAGCGUGGGGAGCGAACAGGAUUAGAUACCCUGGUAGUCCACGCCGUAAACGAUGAGUGCUAAGUGUUAGAGGGUUUCCGCCCUUUAGUGCUGCAGCAAACGCAUUAAGCACUCCGCCUGGGGAGUACGGUCGCAGACUGAAACUCAAAGGAAUUGACGGGGACCCGCACAAGCGGUGGAGCAUGUGUUUAAUUCGAGCAACGCGAAGAACUUACCAGGUCUGACAUCCUCUGCUACUCUAGAAGAUAAGAGUUCCCUCGGACAGAAGUGACAGGUGGGUGCAUGUUCGUCAGCUCGUGUCUGAGAAUGUGGGUAGUCCCGCAACGAACCACCUUGAUCUUAGUUGCCACAUUGGCACUCUAUGACUGCGUGACACGAGAAUGUAGACUCAAUCAUCAUGCCUUAGACUG